rnacentral:misc_RNA from 1 species
GAGAGAGAAAGGGAAGGAGACAGAGAGAAAAGAGGAUCCAAGAGGGGCGCGAGAACUGUCUCACUAUCACCAAGAAAACCAAAACGGAAAUAUAAAAAAAAAAAAGAGAGAAGAAAACAAUGGCAGCAGCUAGAAGAGCUACCAAACUUCCCAUGCUUCCAUUCUCUUUCACAUAGAAAAUGAGACCUAUCUCUCUCUGUAAACCCUAAUCUCCCAUUUCCUCUGCAACCUAUACGCUCAUAUGCCGCUUUAGCUCUUCAAGGCUCGAUUUUCCUUUGCCUUUUGGCGAUACAUUUCCAAUUUGAUUCUCUAUUUUGAUCUAUUUGUCUCUUGAUUUUGACAAUGGAGGCAUUGAUGCAGCUCUGCGACGUGGCGGCGCAGAAUCCGGCACAAUUUGCGGAAAAAUUGGCGGUUUUGUAGCCGAUGUCCGCAACCGGACUCGUUGCUCGCCGGAUCGCCUAGGGUUUCGCGUUCGCAGCUCAAUGCGGUCCUCGCCGUGGCUUUAUUCCUCUCCAAGUGUUCUGUCUCUACCGAUAACAGGCC